rnacentral:rRNA from 1 species
AUUGAACGCUGGCGGCAGGCCUAACACAUGCAAGUCGAGCGGUAGAGAGGAGCUUGCUUCUCUUGAGAGCGGCGGACGGGUGAGUAAUGCCUAGGAAUCUGCCUGAUAGUGGGGGAUAACGUCCGGAAACGGACGCUAAUACCGCAUACGUCCUACGGGAGAAAGUGGGGGCUCUUCGGACCUCACGCUAUCAGCUGAGCCUGGGUCGGAUUAGCUAGUUGGUGGGGUAAAGGCUCACCAAGGCGACGAUCCGUAACUGGUCUGAGAGGAUGAUCAGUCACACUGGAACUGAGACACGGUCCAGACUCCUACGGGAGGCAGCAGUGGGGAAUAUUGGACAAUGGGCGAAAGCCUGAUCCAGCCAUGCCGCGUGUGUGAAGAAGGUCUUCGGAUUGUAAAGCACUUUAAGUUGGGAGGAAGGGUCGUUACCUAAUACGUGACGAUUUUGACGUUACCGACAGAAUAAGCACCGGCUAACUCUGUGCCAGCAGCCGCCGUAA